rnacentral:rRNA from 1 species
GACGAACGCUGGCGGCGCGCUUAACACAUGCAAGUCGAACGGAAAGGCCUGCUUUCCCUUGUGGAUUGCGGGUACUCGAGUGGCGAACGGGUGAGUAACACGUGAGUGAUCUGCCCCCAACUUGGGUAUAAGCCUGGGAAACUGGGUCUAAUUCCCGAUAGGACUGCAGGGUGGUGCCUGUGGUGGAAAACGAUUUUCUAGUGGUUGGGGAUGAGCUCGCGGCCUAUCAGCUUGUUGGUGGGGUAAUGGCCUACCAAGGCGGCGACGGGUAGCCGGCCUGAGAGGGUGGACGGCCACAUUGGGACUGAGAUACGGCCCAGACUCCUACGGGAGGCAGCAGUGGGGAAUAUUGCACAAUCGGCGGAAGCCUGAUGCAGCGACGCCGCGUGGGGGAUGACGGCCUUCGGGUUGUAAACUCCUUUCGACCGCGAGGAAGCCACCUGGUUGGAAGGGUGGUGACGGUAGUGGUAGAAGAAGCACCGGCUAACUACGUG